rnacentral:rRNA from 1 species
GAGUUUGAUCAUGGCUCAGGAUGAACGCUAGCGGCAGGCUUAACACAUGCAAGUCGAGGGGUAGAGUAGCAAUACUUGAGACCGGCGCACGGGUGCGUAACGCGUAUGCAACCUACCUUUUACAGAGGGAUAGCCCAGAGAAAUUUGGAUUAAUACCUCAUAGUAUAUGUCUUUCGCAUGUUAGACAUAUUAAAGUUCCAACGGUAAAAGAUGGGCAUGCGUCCUAUUAGCUAGAUGGUAAGGUAACGGCUUACCAUGGCAACGAUAGGUAGGGGUCCUGAGAGGGAGAUCCCCCACACUGGUACUGAGACACGGACCAGACUCCUACGGGAGGCAGCAGUGAGGAAUAUUGGACAAUGGGCGCAAGCCUGAUCCAGCCAUGCCGCGUGCAGGAAGACGGUCCUAUGGAUUGUAAACUGCUUUUGUACGGGAAGAAACACUCCCUCGUGAGGGAGCUUGACGGUACCGUAAGAAUAAGGAUCGGCUAACUCCGU